rnacentral:lncRNA from 1 species
GGAGAUGGCAGCUCGUUGUCAGGGCUGCUGCCCCUCUGACUCUGCGAUUGGCCGUCUCCGUUAACGUUACCGUUGUUGCCGUUGGCAUUGCCGUUGCCGUUGUUGCCAAUUCUGUUACCCUUGGCGUCAUCGCUCUUGCUGUCGGCACUUCCGUUGCUGUUGGCUUUACCAUUGUCGCUGCUAACAUUGUCACUCGCGUUCCCAGUUACAAUACUACUGCUGCUGCCGCCGCUGUCACUGGACGUGCCAUUGAGCUGCUGCUGUUGUACAGGAUUGUCCAUUUUCCCGUUCCCG